GCUGGGCGCAGUGGCUCACGCCUGUAAUCCCAGCAGCUCCAGAGGCUGAGGCAGGAGGAUCGCAAGUUUAAAGUCAGCCUCAGCAACAGUGAGGUGUUAAGCAACUCAGUGAGACCCUGUCUCUA
rnacentral:sRNA from 1 species